rnacentral:rRNA from 1 species
GAUGGACGCUGGCGACGUGCCUAAUACAUGCAAGUCGAGCGAACGGACGAGAAGCUUGCUUCUCUGAUGUUAGCGGCGGACGGGUGAGUAACACGUGGAUAACCUACCUAUAAGACUGGGAUAACUUCGGGAAACCGGAGCUAAUACCGGAUGAUAUUUUGAACCGCAUGGUUCAAAAGUGAAAGACGGUCUUGCUGUCACUUAUAGAUGGAUCCGCGCUGCAUUAGCUAGUUGGUAAGGUAACGGCUUACCAAGGCAACGAUGCAUAGCCGACCUGAGAGGGUGAUCGGCCACACUGGAACUGAGACACGGUCCAGACUCCUACGGGAGGCAGCAGUAGGGAAUCUUCCGCAAUGGGCGAAAGCCUGACGGAGCAACGCCGCGUGAGUGAUGAAGGUCUUCGGAUCGUAAAACUCUGUUAUUAGGGAAGAACAUAUGUGUAAGUAACUGUGCACAUCUUGACGGUACCUAAUCAGAAAGCCACGGCUAACUACGUG